UUAUGAAGUUAGCGGCGGACGGGUGAGUAACACGUGGGUAACCUGCCCAUAAGACUGGGAUAACUCCGGGAAACCGGGGCUAAUACCGGAUAACAUUUUGAACCGCAUGGUUCGAAAUUGAAAGGCGGCUUCGGCUGUCACUUAUGGAUGGACCCGCGUCGCAUUAUCUAUUUGGUGAGGUAACGGCUCACCAAGGCAACGAUGCGUACCCGACCUGAGAGGGUGAUCGGCCACACUGGGACUGAGACACGGCCCACACUCCUACGGGAGGCAGCAGUAGGGAAUCUUCCGCAAUGGACGAAAGUCUGACGGAGCAACGCCGCGUGAGUGAUGAAGGCUUUCGGGUCGUAAAACUCUGUUGUUAGGGAAGAACAAGUGCUAGUUGAAUAAGCUGGCACCUUGACGGUACCUAACCAGAAAGCCACGGCUAACUACGUGCCAGCAGCCGCGGUAAUACGUAGGUGGCAAGCGUUAUCCGGAAUUAUUGGGCGUAAAGCGCGCGCAGGUGGUUUCUUAAGUCUGAUGUGAAAGCCCACGGCUCAACCGUGGAGGGUCAUUGGAAACUGGGAGACUUGAGUGCAGAAGAGGAAAGUGGAAUUCCAUGUGUAGCGGUGAAAUGCGUAGAGAUAUGGAGGAACACCAGUGGCGAAGGCGACUUUCUGGUCUGUAACUGACACUGAGGCGCGAAAGCGUGGGGAGCAAACAGGAUUAGAUACCCUGGUAGUCCACGCCGUACACGAUGAGUGCUAAGUGUUAGAGGGUUUCCGCCCUUUAGUGCUGAAGUUAACGCAUUAACACUCCGCCUGGGGAGUACGG
rnacentral:rRNA from 1 species